UGUACCAAAAUACUUGUAUAUUAAUUGUUGAAAUAAUAGAAGACAUGAUUAUUUUCUUGAUGGUUUAAAACCAUUUAAGAGUGGUGUCGUACCCCAAACUUUGACUACUAUUUCUUUCUUGUUAUUGACUUAGAAUCUAGGUCAUUGACAUGCUCAAGGCCCUUUAUAAGGCAUCUGAUUAAUCCCAAUGACCUAAAAAGUCAAAGGGGGACCAUUUUUACUUUUUAGUCCCUCCUAGGGAUUUGUUUAAUUCAGGGAUGUUGAUUGGAACGUAAUAAUUUGGGGAGUUAUGCUAGAGGGAUAUUACCAUUGGUAACUAGGAUAUUUUGUCUUACUAAAACACAUUAGUAAAAACUAAUUGGCGUUAAGUUCGUUAUCCUUUCCAUAGCAAUUUUGGAGAGUGUUUUAUUCUUUUCCAAAUAAAGAUUCAUACCAAAAAUGGAAUACUUCGUAGCUAAGUCUUGUGGUUGAUCUUGAAUCAGAGUGCACGAGAUUCAGGUUUUCUUCUUCAUCAUGUAUACUUCAGAUAGUUGCUGAGAGUAAAUUUUCUUCAGAGGUUCUUGAUAUGAUUUUCUGUAGAGCCUUCUUCAGAGUAUAAAUCAUCAGAGUAGAUGUGUAGAAGUCUUCAGAUUCAGAGUGUCUAAGUCUUCUACUGUCAGACUCUGUGGGCUUCCUUUUCUUCAGAGUUAGAGCAACUGCUUCCAUUCGUUCUAAGUUAUCUAUUAUGCACUUGUGUGAUGUCAGAUGUUGUCUAUCUGAUCCUUUUUCUGUUAGAAUCCUGCAUACUUAGAUAAAUUUGUUAGGGUACCAAUUUGUUUCAUCCUUUGUUAUCAUAAAAACUUUAGAGAUAAAUUGUAGACACAAAAUAUUGUUCUGACAUCACAUAUGCUUGUUAACUUGGAUUUAUUAUGUAAGUGGAAGUGGAGGAUGCUCGAAGAUAUGGCGUCUCAGCGAAAUAAUAUUAUUAUGGCUAGAUACAUGUAUCAUGUAGGUUUUCCUUAGGCAAGUAAUCAGGAGGAGAGUUUGCGGAAAGCCUCCCCUUGGUGAAGAAGUGAUUCUCUCCUUGGUUCUACAUAUGAUCAUCCUUCAAAUUAGUUCACCUCUUCCUGCACCAAUGUGGUCUAGAUUAUGGAACGAUGUUUUAAUGGGCUUAAAUAUGUUGUGUGUUUCUUUUGAGAGUUUGUUUCUUAUUUUAGAGCAAAAGGGCCUGGUGGCGGGGUUGAUGGGCCAUUAGGAAAGGAAUGUUUGGUUUGAGGAUUUUGAGUGAGGGCAUUUCCUCAUGGUCUGGGAGGAAGAGUUUCUUAGGCUUGUUGCUAGGGUGGUUAAGCAAUGUUGGGAGGACGCCUAGUAGUGGCUUGCUCACCCCUUAAGAGGUUUUCUUAUGAGGACGACAUAUACUAGACUUUUCUCUUUGGUGGUAGGUGUUGAUAGUAGAUCAGUUCGAGUGUUUAGGAAGUUGGCGGGGGUUUAGAAGAGCCAGGCGCCUUCAAAAUUGGUGGUUUCUCUUGAAAGUUUCUUCAAGAUAGGUUGUCAUCUAGAAAUUAUAUUUCUAAGAGCCUGAUCGUUUAUGCUACUAGUGGGUUGGGGUGUGCGGUGUGUUUAGGUAAAUUUGUGUAUGUGAACCAUUUGUUUGUUUUGUGUGAGGUGGCCUCCUUAUUCCUAUAUAAGGUCCUUACUUGGCUAAGUUUGCCUUUACCGCUUCUGGAUUUCAUUCUUGGGGUAUUUGAGGUUUUUCAAGAUUUUUGUAAAAAAUACUUGUUUAGGUCUACUGUGGAUUUGACAUUGAGUGGUCUCGAUAAUCUAAAAUUUUUGUAGUAAAAUCACUUUUUAUCAGGAAAGCUUGUUAAUAAAUCAUUGGGUGAAUUAAAUUAUUGGUUUAACUUGGAAGUGAGUUUAUUCUCAUACUCUGAUUUAUACUUUCUUCUUGCUAGACUAGGAGUGUGACCCAAUAUGUUUUCUCCGAUUUUAGGGGUACAUUUAGUGUUCAGUUGCCCUUCUUUUAUGUUUUGUUGAUGGUUGAGAUUGCCAACCUUAUGUUGUUUCUUUCCGAGUUGUGUCAGUUCUAACGUUGGGGUGUUUGUGUUUAGCUGCUAGUGUAAUUUGUAAGUUGUUCUUGCAUCGAUUUUUUUUAACUGAUUGUUUCCUUUCCUUUUGAGCACUACUCAUACUUCUUAUCUAUAUCUACUACUCAUUCCCCUUUCUUAGGAUAUAUUCCUAUCUAUAUCUAUAUGUGCUUCUUAUCUAAAUCUAUUAAAAAAAUAAUCAAAGGAACCAAUUUUUAUGUAAAGAGAAAAUCAACUAAAACACACAAAGAGUAAAGAGUGAAUGAUUUCUUCUCCUCCACUAAGUCUCUUAUUUUUCUUUUUGAUUAAAUUUUCUAUCUUUUUGAAUUUUAUUUUAUGAUAGCUUAUUUCAAUUGAAAAUUUAAUUUAUAAUUUUGUAAAUUAAUUUAAAAAUAAAACUAUUUUGAUUCAUAAAUCAUAAUCAUAAAUUUCAUCAAUUAUAAUUAAAUUAUUGUAGUAGAUUUAUGUCUAUUUUUCAAAUUGUAAUCCAUUUAAAAAAAAUAAUUAAAAUUUUGAUCAAUUAUUUAUAUUUAUUAAUUAUAUAAAUGAAUUAAAAUAAUAUUUGUAUUCCCAUGUGAUCAUUUAUUUAAUUCUAAAUGAUUGAGUUCUAUUUUGACUUAAACAACUCUAAUUUAAUUAUUUUACCUUUUAUAGAUAUAUGGUAGUAGUACGUUAAUUAAGGCUAUGAAUGACUUUUUAAAUUAUUUUAUUAGUUUAAGAGUGAAGUUAUAUAUAAAAAAAUAAUCUUUCAUGAAUAACAUUCGUGCUAUUUUUACAACUAGACAUCUACAUUUAAUUUAUUCUGAGUAAGUCGUAAAGUUUAAGCGAUUACACAUAUUUAUAAUAAAUGAAUGUGAUAUGUUCAAUAAUGAUUCAAUACUUGACAACAUAAUUUUUUUAUAUUUUUUAAAAUAUAUAGUUUUAAAUAAGUUAUUAAUACUAAUAAUUUAACAGUUUAAUAUAUAUAUAUAUAUAGAGAGAGAGAAAAAGAGAGAGUGAGAACGAAGAUAAUAUUAGGCAACACAUAAAUAUUUAUUUAAUUUACUUUUUAAGCAAUAACACCAUAACUUUUCUUACUUUACGCUAAUCCGCAUAGACAAAAAAACAUACGACACUUAGAAACAAAAGGAGAGUCACACGUAUUGUGUCGACAUUCCUUGUCAGUAACGCAUAACACUUGAUCUGUAAUGUCAAAUAAAAGAAAAGAAAUAUUAUUAAACAAUAUAAAUGAUUAUACAUAUGAUAAAGAAGAUAAUUUGAAAUAGGUGUGAAAAGAUCUUACCUUUACUAGAUACAAGAAUAAUUAGAGAAACAAAUAUGAUCAAAGUAUAAAUGAAUUUAAGAACUCUAGCCAUAUUUUUUUCUCCUUUGCAUAUGGUAAAUAAAAAAAUUGUGGAUCACUUUAUAAGUAAAAUUCCGUGCAUUGCAACAAGUCAUUCAUAUUUUAUGAAUUAUUGUAACUGUUUUUUAAGUACAACGAUGUAAUGUGCAUAUCUUU
rnacentral:lncRNA from 1 species